UUGAUCAUGGCUCAGAUUGAACGCUGGCGGCAGGCCUAACACAUGCAAGUCGAGCGGCAGCACAGAGAAACUUGUUUCUCGGGUGGCGAGCGGCGGACGGGUGAGUAAUGCCUGGGAAAUUGCCCUGAUGUGGGGGAUAACCAUUGGAAACGAUGGCUAAUACCGCAUGAUGCCUACGGGCCAAAGAGGGGGACCUUCGGGCCUCUCGCGUCAGGAUAUGCCCAGGUGGGAUUAGCUAGUUGGUGAGGUAAGGGCUCACCAAGGCGACGAUCCCUAGCUGGUCUGAGAGGAUGAUCAGCCACACUGGAACUGAGACACGGUCCAGACUCCUACGGGAGGCAGCAGUGGGGAAUAUUGCACAAUGGGCGCAAGCCUGAUGCAGCCAUGCCGCGUGUGUGAAGAAGGCCUUCGGGUUGUAAAGCACUUUCAGUUGUGAGGAAGGUGGUGUCGUUAAUAGCGGCAUCAUUUGACGUUAGCAACAGAAGAAGCACCGGCUAACUCCGUGCCAGCAGCCGCGGUAAUACGGAGGGUGCGAGCGUUAAUCGGAAUUACUGGGCGUAAAGCGCAUGCAGGUGGUUUGUUAAGUCAGAUGUGAAAGCCCGGGGCUCAACCUCGG
rnacentral:rRNA from 1 species